rnacentral:rRNA from 1 species
ACGGAAGGCAGCAGUGGGGAAUAUUGGACAAUGGGGGAAACCCUGACCCAGCGACGCCGCGUGAGUGAAGAAGUAUUUCGGUAUGUAAAGCUCUAUCAGCAAGGAAGAAAAUGACGGUACUUGACUAAGAAGCUCCGGCUAAAUACGUGCCAGCAGCCGCGGUAAUACGUAUGGAGCAAGCGUUAUCCGGAUUUACUGGGUGUAAAGGGAGCGUAGACGGCAAAGCAAGUCUGAAGUGAAAUCUAUGGGCUCAACCCAUAAACUGCUUUGGAAACUGUUUAGCUAGAGUGCAGGAGAGGUAAGUGGAAUUCCUAGUGUAGCGGUGAAAUGCGUAGAUAUUAGGAGGAACACCAGUGGCGAAGGCGGCUUACUGGACUGUAACUGACGUUGAGGCUCGAAAGCGUGGGGAGCAAACAGGAUUAGAUACCCUGGUA